AACGAACGCUGGCGGCAGGCCUAACACAUGCAAGUCGAGCGCCCACUUCGGUGGGAGCGGCGGACGGGUUAGUAACGCGUGGGAACGUGCCCUUCUCUACGGAAUAGCCAUUGGAAACGAUGAUUAAUACCGUAUACGCCCUUUGGGGGAAAGAUUUAUCGGAGAAGGAUCGGCCCGCGUUAGAUUAGGUAGUUGGUGGGGUAAUGGCCUACCAAGCCUACGAUCUAUAGCUGGUUUGAGAGGAUGAUCAGCAACACUGGGACUGAGACACGGCCCAGACUCCUACGGGAGGCAGCAGUGGGGAAUCUUAGACAAUGGGGGAAACCCUGAUCUAGCCAUGCCGCGUGAGUAACGAAGGCCCUAGGGUCGUAAAGCUCUUUCGCCAGGGAUGAUAAUGACAGUACCUGGUAAAGAAACCCCGGCUAACUCCGUGCCAGCAGCCGCGGUAAUACGGAGGGGGUUAGCGUUGUUCGGAAUUACUGGGCGUAAAGCGCACGUAGGCGGAUUGGAAAGUUGGGGGUGAAAUCCCAGGGCUCAACCCUGGAACUGCCUCCAAAACUAACAGUCUAGAGUUCGAGAGAGGUGAGUGGAAUUCCGAGUGUAGAGGUGAAAUUCGUAGAUAUUCGGAGGAACACCAGUGGCGAAAGCGGCUCACUGGCUCGAUACUGACGCUGAGGUGCGAAAGUGUGGGGAGCAAACAGGAUUAGAUACCCUGGUAGUCCACACCGUAACGAUGAAUGCCAGACGUCGGGCAGU
rnacentral:rRNA from 1 species